CCUACGGGAGGCAGCAGUCGAGAAUCAUUCACAAUGGGGGAAACCCUGAUGGUGCGACGCCGCGUGGGGGAAUGAAGGUCUUCGGAUUGUAAACCCCUGUCAUGUGGGAGCAAAUUAAAAAGAUAGUACCACAAGAGGAAGAGACGGCUAACUCUGUGCCAGCAGCCGCGGUACUACAGAGGUCUCAAGCGUUGUUCGGAAUCACUGGGCGUAAAGCGUGCGUAGGCUGUUUCGUAAGUCGUGUGUGAAAGGCGCGGGCUCAACCCGCGGACGGCACAUGAUACUGCGAGACUAGAGUAAUGGAGGGGGAACCGGAAUGCUCGGUGUAGCAGUGAAAUGCGUAGAUAUCGAGAGGAACACUCGUGGCGAAGGCGGGUUCCUGGACAUUAACUGACGCUGAGGCACGAAGGCCAGGGGAGCGAAAGGGAUUAGAUACCCCAGUAGUC
rnacentral:rRNA from 1 species